rnacentral:RNase_P_RNA from 1 species
GAGGAUUGCACGGUAAUCGCGUUUAUAUUUAAUAUAUACGAGGAACGUCCGGACUCCAUAGAGCAACACGCCGGUGAAAUGCCGGGCGAGGUAACUCGACGGAAAGUGCCACAGAAAAUAUACCGCCAAUUUAGUUUUUCUAGAUCGGUAAGGGUGAAAAGAUGUACCUAAGAACACAUCAACGAUAUGAGUAAUCAUAAAGUUUGGUAAACCCCGUGCGGAGCAAGGUCGAAUAGGAAAUAGUGUGGCUCACACGUUUUAAGUUUCGGGUAGACCGCUACAGCCUUAGGGCGAUGACUACAAUAGAGAUAUUGUAGCUAGAUGGAUGAUUACCUCUCUUACGAGAGUAAGAGAACAGAAUCCGGCGUAAGUGCGAUCCUCUUUC